rnacentral:lncRNA from 1 species
GCUGCUUCGGCUUUCUGAUGAGGCAGCAUCUGGACUGCAUUAUGGGUUGAGGAGAAAACUGAGAGCAAAGAACACAGAGCUGGCCCCCAGCUCCUGUCUGCAGGAAGGGCUCUGUGCUCUUCAAGGGCCGCUCAGCCUUAGCCCUCAUCUUCCUAUCUCCCUAGAAAGUAGACACAAAAUGUGCUCAGAAGAAGAUGGCCUGGAAGGCAAGACCAGACCUUUGCAGAGCUCUGUUCAAAACUGUUCAUCUUACUAACUCUUCCUAUGGCAGAGGAGACUAAGGUCCAGAGAAGAGCAGUAACUUUCCCGGGUCACACUGGGAGCCACAAGAACCAAGACCAGGCUUAGGAGCCUUCCAUGCAUACACGUGGCCAAGUCAAAGCAAGGACCCAACGAGCUGAAUGUUUCCCCUGCAGGAGGAUUCUGAGUUCAUCCCCAAGAGCUGAAGUGACCCAGGAAAGGUUCAAGAGAACUGGCAGGGAUCAGCCUUCGUUCUCCUAGGUCUGGAUAUUCUUGCUUUCUAAGCCCCACUUUUUGCCCAGGUGCCACAUUCCCCUGGCGCCCCAUUCCUGAGGUUGGCUAAGACUUGGGGUGGGGACCUGCUGGUCCUUCCCGAAGCUCUUCCCCUGCCUAGCCCCAGCUCCAGACGUGGCAGGGUGAGAGCAUUGAGUGGUUUCUUUGCUCCCUCCCAAGUGCUGUGCUGGCGGCUCCCGAAAUAAAAAUCGAAUGUGAGCUUGGCAGAGGGAGGGAGCGGGUGGGAGAAGCUGCCGCCGCCGCCGCAUGCUGGCCCCUGCCGCCGCCGCCGCAGCAUGCUGGCCCUUCAUUCUUUCCGUUGUAACUUCACCUCCUAACCUCUGGCAUUUUAAUUAUGUCUCCUACUCGCUGGCUGUGCCUGGGCCCGCUUGUGAGCUCACCCUUUCCUCUAGCAGGGGAGGGAGGGGGCAGUUGCUGAGGUCUUGGACCCCCAGCUUCCAGCCUCUUUCCUGGAAGCUGACUGGCCUCCAGCUCCCCACUGCCUUUGUAUCCCCUGGAAGAGCCUUGGGAGGGCGAUCUAACUCCCAGGCAUUCAGCCUGGCGUCUCUCUGGUCCUUUGUAUGACUCAUUCCGUCUUCACACCAUUUAAUGGAGGCCGAGGUCUAAGGGGUGGUGUGACAGGUUUAUUACCCUGUUUCAUGGCCGGCUCAGCCUCAAUUGGAUUAUGAGCUGCAGAGCUGAGCCUAGGAAGAGGGGCUGGGAUAGCCCAGGCUUGACAUUUCUUCACAUCUACACAGGAGAGCGGAGAAUGUAGCUCAGUGUGUAGAGUGGUAGGUAGCCUAGCAUACUUAAAGCCUGGGCUUCUUCCUCAGUGUUGCAUGAUCAACAGGAUCAGAAGCACAAGGUUAUCCUCUGCUACAAGAGGAUAGCCUGAGCUACAUUAGACCUAAUU